rnacentral:rRNA from 1 species
CACGUAGGGUGCGAGCGUUGUCCGGAAUUAUUGGGCGUAAAGAGCUCGUAGGCGGUUUGUCGCGUCUGCUGUGAAAACUCGGGGCUUAACCCCGGGCCUGCAGUGGGUACGGGCAGACUAGAGUGCGGUAGGGGAGACUGGAAUUCCUGGUGUAGCGGUGAAAUGCGCAGAUAUCAGGAGGAACACCGGUGGCGAAGGCGGGUCUCUGGCCCAAUACUGACACUCAGGUGCGACAGCGUGGGGGAGCAAACAGG